UUUUGGCGCUUCAGGAAAACCCAAAAGCCAGAGAAGAGCACGGAGGUGGUCACCACUGCGUGUGAACAAAAAGGUGGAGACAAGAGAAUGGUGGUAAUCUGCGCAGGCAACUGGAGGAUGACCUGAGUGCAUCUCGCCAGGGAACGGUCCCCGUUCCAUAGAACCCCUGAAGAUGCCAGGCUCUUAUAUUUAGAGGGGGGGCCGGAGGCGUCUGUGGGGUCACCACAUACAUCACUCCUGGAGGUGUUGUUCACAUUGUGUUCUUUGUAAAGAGUGUCCCUGGUGAGGUUCAACAUCUCCCUCUGCAAGACCCAGCCUUGCCCUCCCAACCCGCCAAGGUUCUGGUCUGGCACCUGUGAAGACCGUGACCUGGAGGCCUCAGCCUGAGACUCAGAGGGGAUGGAGCUUGUGCAGCGUCUGGCAGCUUAAAUGAGACACGAGGCCAAGGAAGGAGGACCGCCUCUCUGCUCCGCCUCCGCUCCUGAGUCAGCUAGUGAGUGCCGGUUACUUCCUGUCGGAGCUGUACAGAGUUAGCAUAAAUUUUAGAUACAUGUCUUACUUUUAACAGUGAAAGGCUGUUACAUCAAGCAAAAUUGAUCUCCUCCUCGGUUUUUUUUUUUAAACACUUCUAUGUAAAAUAACACACAAGUAUAGAAAAGCACCCUCCGCAAAGGGAGGGCUCAGUGAAUUACAAUGGGCGCUCCACUCUGGGGAGCAAUAGUUUUUCCCUCUGUGAAAGCCCAGAUGCUUCUGAGAAGCUCCUCUCAGCUUCCUUACUCUGGCCCGACCUCCACAGCGGAAAUCCCAAAGGGACUGGAUUCUCCCAGCCCUCCAGCGCCCUCCACUACUUUCUGAUUGUGCUGCCACACUCAUUUUGAGUUAUUUGUGUGUAAAUCACUGCACUUGGAAUAUACAUGGAGUAACUGAUUUCAUUCUU